GAUGAACGCUGGCGGCGUGCCUAAUACAUGCAAGUCGAGCGAACGGACGAGAAGCUUGCUUCUCUGAUGUUAGCGGCGGACGGGUGAGUAACACGUGGAUAACCUACCUAUAAGACUGGGAUAACUUCGGGAAACCGGAGCUAAUACCGGAUAAUAUUUUGAACCGCAUGGUUCAAAAGUGAAAGACGGUCUUGCUGUCACUUAUAGAUGGAUCCGCGCUGCAUUAGCUAGUUGGUAAGGUAACGGCUUACCAAGGCAACGAUGCAUAGCCGACCUGAGAGGGUGAUCGGCCACACUGGAACUGGGACACGGUCCAGACUCCUACGGGAGGCAGCAGUAGGGAAUCUUCCGCAAUGGGCGAAAGCCUGACGGAGCAACGCCGCGUGAGUGAUGAAGGUCUUCGGAUCGUAAAACUCUGUUAUGAGGGAGGAACAGAUGUGUAAUUAACUGUGCACAUCUUGACGGUACCUAAUCAGAAAGCCACGGCUAACUACGUG
rnacentral:rRNA from 1 species